CCUACGGGAGGCAGCAGUGGGGAAUAUUGCACAAUGGGGGAAACCCUGAUGCAGCGACGCCGCGUGAGUGAAGAAGUAUCUCGGUACGUAAAGCCCUAUCAGCAGGAAAGAAAAUGACGGUACCUGACUAAGAAGCCCCGGCUAACUACGUGCCAGCAGCCGCUGUCAUACGUAGGGGGCAAGCGUUAUUCGGAUUUACUGGGUGUAAAUGGAGCGUAGACGGCGCUGCAAGUCCGGAGUGAAAGCCCAUGGCUUAACCAUGGUACUGCUCUGGAAACUGUAGAGCUUGAGUGCGGGAGGGGCAGGCGGAAUUCGUAGUGUAGCGGUGAAAUGCGUAGAUAUUAGGAAGAACACCGGCGGCGAAGGCAGCCUGCUGGACCGUAACUGACGUUGAGGCUCGAAAGCGUGGGGAGCGAACAGGAUUAGAUACCCCGGUAGUC
rnacentral:rRNA from 1 species